rnacentral:rRNA from 1 species
CGCUAUGCAUGCAGUCGACGAGCGACCCGGGCUUGCCCGGUUAGCUAGUGGCAGACGGCUGAGUAACACGUAAGUAAUUUGCCCCAAAGAGGGGGAUAAACCAGAGAAAUUUGGCCUAAUACCCCGUAACUUUCCAUCGAGCAUGCUCAGUGGAAAGAAAGGCUUCGGCCGCUUUGGGAGAAGCUUGCGGCUUAUCAGGUAGUUGGUGGGGUAAUGGCCUACCAAGCCUAAGACGAGUAACCGGUGUGAGAGCACGAUCGGUCAGAGGGGGACUGAGACACGGCCCCCACUCCUACGGGAGGCAGCAGCAGGGAAUCUUGCGCAAUGGGCGAAAGCCUGACGCAGCGACACCGCGUGGAGGAUGAAGGUCCUAGGAUUGUAAACUCCUUUUAUCAGGGAAGAGAAAGGACGGUACCUGAUGAAUAAGGUUCGGCUAACUACGUGCCAGCAGCCGCGGUAAUACGUAGGAACCGAGCGUUGUCCGAAUUUACUGGGCGUAAAGAGCGCGUAGGUGGUUUGUUAAGUCUCAUGUGUAAUCUCCCGGCUCAACUGGGAGGGGUCAUGGGAUACUGGCAGACUCGAGGAUAGCAGAGGAAAGCGGAAUUCAGGGAGUAGUGGUGAAAUGCGUAGAUACCCUGAGGAACACCAGAGGCGAAGGCGGCUUUCUGGGCUAUUCCUGACACUGAGGCGCGAAAGCGUGGGGAGCGAACCGGAUUAGAUACCCGGGUAGUCCACGCCCUAAACGAUGGAUACUAGAUAUGGGGGUAUAGACCCCUCCAGUGUCGAAGCUAACGCGAUAAGUAUCCCGCCUGGGGAGUACGGCCGCAAGGCUAAAACUCAAAGGAAUUGACGGGGACC